rnacentral:rRNA from 1 species
GUUGAACGCUGGCGGCAGGCCUAACACAUGCAAGUCGAACGAGUGGCGGACGGGUGAGUAAUGUCUGGGAAACUGCCUGAUGGAGGGGGAUAACUACUGGAAACGGUAGCUAAUACCGCAUACCAUCAGAUUUGCCCAGAUGGGAUUAGCUUGGUGGUGGGGUAACGGCUCACCAAGGCGACGGUCCCUAGCUGGUCUGCGAGGAUGACCAGCCACAAUGGGAAGGAGACACGGUCCAGACUCCUACGGGAGGCAGCAGUGGGGAAUAUUUCACAAUGGGCGCAAGCCUGAUGCAGCCAUGCCGCGUGUAUGAAGAAGGCCUUCGGGUUGUAAAGUACUUUCAGUGGGGAGGCGUUACCCGAAGAAGAAGCACCGGCUAACUCCGGGCCAGCAGCCGCGGUAAUUC